rnacentral:rRNA from 1 species
UACGUAGGGGGCAAGCGUUGUCCGGAAUCAUUGGGCGUAAAGAGCGUGUAGGCGGCCCGAUAAGUCCGCUGUGAAAGUCCAGGGCUCAACCCUGGAAUGCCAGUGGAAACUGUCGGGCUAGAGUCCGGAAGAGGCGAGUGGAAUUCCUGGUGUAGCGGUGAAAUGCGCAGAUAUCAGGAGGAACACCAAUGGCGAAGGCGGGUCUCUGGGCCGAUACUGACGCUGAGGAGCGAAAGCGUGGGGAGCGAACAGG